CCGCUGGCGGUUUCGACCGUCGGUAGUUUAUAGUGGUGAGUUCUCAGCCCAGUUUUUUUGUGGUGGCGCCCGGAGCGCGUUUGUCCCCUGCAGCGUAGGAGUCUCUUUGCAGUGCAACCAUCUGGAAAAAGGAAAACCAAUCGGGUUGGCAUUCCAAAAAAAAAGCGAGAAAAACCAACUGUAAGGAAACCCGGAAAGAAAUACGGUUCAAUUGUGUUCGUUUAAAAGAUAACAGGUAUGCUAAGUGGGUAUUUUGACCCUGUGGGGUUCUUGAAACCUUCAAGCGAGGAGACUCGUCAAAAACCAAAAAUUUUACUGAGAUGCACUCAUACAAAAGAAGCAACAGUGAACAGAAUUCCUCGCAGUCUUUGUAAGCACGCUGUCCCAUUUAGUGUUUUGCA
rnacentral:lncRNA from 1 species